UAAUGCUGUGAUAGAUUUGAUGCAAAAUGUAAACUGUGAGAUAGAUUUGACAAAAAAAAACAUAUGAUAGAUUUGACAAAACAAACAAACCAUGAACCAUUUUAAGUAAAAACCCCUAAAAUAUAUCGAGAUUAAAAGUGAAAGCCUUAGUGUAAUUUGUGAUAACUGCGAUACACUUUAUGAUAACUUAUUAAUUAUCACGAAUUAUCCUUUAGCUAUCAUUCAAUGUGAUGGCCCGAAUAAAUUUUUUUUGGAGAAAAGAUCAUAAAAUAUAUUGGAGUUAUCACUGGUUAUAUAAAAAUUGUUAUUCUCAAUGAUAAUUUAUCUCUUAAAGUGAUAACCUCAGUAUAAUUAGAGAUAACUUAAGUAUAUUUUGUUAUAACUAAUAAGUUAUCACAAAUUACCUCUUAGUCAUCAUUAAGUAUGAUAACCUAAGUAUAAUGAGUGAUAAUCUCAGUAUAUUUUCUAAUAACUUCUCCAGUUAUCACAAAAUAUAUUGAGAUUAUAAUACCUAAUGAUAACUUAGAUAUAAUAUAUGAUAACUUAAUAAGUUAUCACAAAAUAUACAAAGAUUAUCACUAUUUGUACGAAGGUUAUUACACCUUGUGAUUACCUCAAUAAUUAUAGUUACCCCUUUUAACGAGUUAUCACAAAUUUGAUGUCGGUUAUCAUAUAUAGUGAUAACUUAUUCAUAAUUUGUAAUAACUCGAUAAUAUUAUUAUAAUAUUUACUUAUUAAAUAAUUAAUACCUUUUAUUAUUUUUGUAUUUUUUAUCAUUAAAUAUAUUAAUAAUCUUUUCUAAAAUAUUUCAUAAAUUUUUUCAUAAAAUCGACUCCACCCAUUCUCCCUCAUCCCAAGACCCGUCCAGGCCCUGGACGGCAUAAGUUCCCCAGAGAUAAGAGUGAGAACUCGAAAACUCGAAAAAGAGAACGAAGAUCGAUCAAAGAGGAGGAGGAGGAAUCUGCAGAGGCAUUGUCCAUAGUGUGCUCAGGCACACAUUUACUGAGGCGCCGGAAUUGUCAGUCUUGAGGCACAGUUUUCCAUGUUGAGGCAUGGAUGGUUGAGUGAGAGAUAUUCUUGUGAUUCUGUUUCCUUUAUGGACCGAUGCAAAUCAGAAUGAAUUCAACUAGGUGGUUCAGAGAUAUUUUGGAUAUAUUCUAGAGAAUAUUUGGAGUUUUGUACCUAUAUACGAUAGGGGAAAUCUUGAAUAAGAUACGUUGGAUGUAAAUCAAGUGUAAUCCUUUUGAGAAAUUCUCAGUUAUUCUCUUGGAGUCUUUAUGGUUCAUAGAGUAAGAGAGUUGUGAGAUUGAGAGGAUUAUAAAGUUCUUCUCGAGUUUAAGUCUUAUAACGGGGGUUAAGAAACAUGAUUGUAAUUUUUAUUGUAACAUCAUGUUUUCGAUCCAGUGAAAUUUCCUACUUUGUUUGUCAA